rnacentral:rRNA from 1 species
CGGUGGAGCAUGUGGUUUAAUUCGAAGCAACGCGAAGAACCUUACCAGGCCUUGACAUGCAGAGAACUUUCCAGAGAUGGAUUGGUGCCUUCGGGAACUCUGACACAGGUGCUGCGUGGCUGUCGUCAGCUCGUGUCGUGAGAUGUUGGGUUAAGUCCCGUAACGAGCGCAACCCUUGUCCUUAGUUACCAGCACGUUAUGGUGGGCACUCUAAGGAGACUGCCGGUGACAAACCGGAGGAAGGUGGGGAUGACGUCAAGUCAUCAUGGCCCUUACGGCCUGGGCUACACACGUGCUACAAUGGUCGGUACAAAGGGUUGCCAAGCCGCGAGGCGGAGCUAAUCCCAUAAAACCGAUCGUAGUCCGGAUCGCAGUCUGCAACUCGACUGCGUGAAGUCGGAAUCGCUAGUAAUCGUGAAUCAGAAUGUCACGGUGAAUACGUUCCCGGGCCUU